GGGGAGCAGCUGCUGGGAGUUAACCCCUUCUGGGCUGUGAGAAGCAGGGCAGGAGGAGCGGAUGUCGGGCCUGAGCGUGGCCGUGGGGGGGUCCUGUGCCGGGGGUGCAUGCUGGGACACCCCCCGUGUGCUGCAGGGCGCCUGGGCACCAAGUGCAGAGGGCAUUGGCUUCGCAGGGACACGCUGCGUGCACGGAUGGCGAGAGGUUUUAUGGGGAUUUGCUCUGCCUCCUAGGCAAGGCCUGAAUUUGCAGUUUGCUUUGGGACACAGCUGCAGGGGAUGCUGCACUUGGCUUCUGAGGAGCAGCCCGGAGAUAAGGGGUGAGAAGGGGAGGCCAGCCGCUGCCUAGCAGAGAGGGCUCAGCCACACGCCGUUGAUCUGGCUAGCACAUUUUUGCUUGAAGACAGAUGUCUGGGCAACACCCUUGCAAAGAAGACAGCUCCUAACAACUCCUACAGUCCUGCCAGCCUUUAUGGCACCUUUGCAAGGCUUUAGGGGCUGCUCAAAAAGACUGACAUUUCUGCCACUGCGAGUGCCCUGGCUCGCUAAGCUCCCGCAAUGCCCUGUGCCCCCCAGGGUGACCCGCCGGCUGACCUGCUGGGGCUGGCACAGACGUGGAAACAUCUACCUGGCUCCUGGGAGUGGGGCAGGCAGCGACGGGACAGCGACAGCUCCUCGAGCUGCGUCCCUCCUGAACUGCAGGCCGCCUGCUCCCGCUGCGGCUCUGCCCACAGACCCCCUCCAAGCUCCUGACACCAAAGUGGAGCUGACAGGGAGACUUGACAGACAAAAUAACAGCAGCCAGAGCAAUUGCUGUCUCCCGAGGAGGUGUUUAUAAUGCGAGGAACCCCUGAAGGGAUCUGAGCAGGAAUGGGAACAGAAGCUCUUUUGCUUGGGCUGAGCUCCUGCCUGCGAGCCGGAGCGUGGAGCCCAGCCAGCGCGGCCGCUCUGCCCGCACCGCCCGGGGCAGGGGGAGCGGGGCUGGCAGCAGCUCCUGCGGCUCAGCAGCGCCUGCAGCCUGUGCUGCCGUGCCAGAAAAGCCUCUCCUCGCCUGUCAGGCAAGUGCCUCGUCUCUGCGAGCCCAGCUCCGACUCCUGCCCGUUCUCCUCAUCCUCUUUGUCCCCCCCCUUCCUAUCCCAAAGCUCUCUCUGCCUGUUUUCCCCAGCCUGCAAGACCUUCGGGGCAGGGGAUGAGCCUCCCCCCAGGCUCCACGAAGCCACCCCGUGGUGCAGGGGUUCAGCUCUGAUGGAUCUCAGCGUGCGCCUCAGCACCGCGUCCUUGCCGCCCGCAGCUCCGGCAGUGGCAACCGCGCUUGCUUUCCCCGCAACCAGCUAAUCCCGCUAGGCAGCAGGGGCAGGGUGACAAAUUAUUCUGACUAAUAGUCUAAACAAUGUGGAACAACGGAAGUCAGGGAGCAGCACAUAAAAUAUGCAGCACACAGGGGGCUGGGCUAUUUUAUUUGAUUAUCAGAUGGGUAUUCCAGUGCCGGGAUCCAUCAGGAGCAGAACAACGCAUGUCCGACUCAAUAACAUCUCAGGAGGGGCGGUGGGGGCUGCAGGAGCUUCUUCCUGGGUGCAGCUGGGCAGCCUAGCCCCAAGUGAAUGGCAUGUGACAAUGGGACACCUCUCCCUGGUACAUGGGGGCUUCCGUGGCAUCUCCCCACGGAGAGGGGGUGCGAGGGUCUGACCCUGUCCCAGGGCUACCCGAAGGGGCCGGGCAGACAGGGCCCAGCAGAGGAUGUGUUCGAGCACACAGGGCAGGCUUGCUGUCAUCUCUUUGAAAUUCCUUUGCAUUCGGAGUCAUUCUGAAAGCCAAAAGCUGUUAGUUUCCCCAGGAUGCCCAGGGAGGGUUAUUGACUGGGUUUGCUCUGAUGAUAUUUCUCUGCACAGCUGUUCAUGCCAUCAGCAGCGGGGUUUCUCUUUAAAAAGAAGAUACUUUAUCCAUUAAAAAGAAAUCUGUAAAUGAUGGAUAUGUAUUCAGCCUAAGACUGAGUGAUGAAAUCCUCUCAGAGGUGCAAGGAUCCAGCUCUCUGCCUGUCCCCGACCCCUGCCAGCUCUCGUGGAGGCUGCGCGGCUCUCGGAAAGCCUCGGGGCCGGCAGCAUUGUGCAGGGCUCAGGCCAGGAAGUUUUCUCUCCCAAGGCUCCUUUCACUUCCCGUGUCAGAGCAGGGCAGGAAUGCUGUGAGAACAACCCCUCAGGAGCUGUUUGGAGACUUGUGCUUCCAGCUGGAGAAGAAAGCGUAGGGUCAGCAGAAGGGGAGGUGGAAGAGCUGGCGGCGGGGAGGAGCGAGCGCUGCUCUCUGCCCUCCGUGAGGGGCCCCGCUCCCCCUUGCCCACCCGGAGCAGAGAGCUGCUCGGGCUGUCACGGCGCUGUGUUCUCCUGGCUGGGUCCUGGGCCCUGGGAACACGCUGUUCCCGAUGUCCUGCAGCCUGCCUGGGGGCACACGGGCAGCGGGGUGCCUGCGCUGCCUACCCCAGAGCCGGUGCUGGCAGCCUGCAGGGCAGGGCGAGUCUGCUCCUGGCACACGGGGGCUGCACAAGGAGGUGGCUCCGGAGGGAUGCAGGAGGUCUGAUGCCAUGCACAGGCACGGGGGCUUCUUGACUCCCAUCACUCCUGCCUCAGAGUCUCAGGGAGACCAUCUGUGGGAUCUAACACCUUCCUCCCCCCACCCCAAAGGGUGCUAUUUUAUUCCCAUUGCCAUAACUUGGCCUUUUAAAGUCUGUUGCUUCGUUCAUGGGAUAAAUGCAAGUGACCUGAACCUCACAUGCCCAAUUGGCACGCAACGCCUCCUUUCUUGUUUUAUACUCCUCGAGUUCUCAUUUAUUUUUGAGCUAGGUCAUUUAUAUUGUAUGGAAGUAUGUGCCCUAGAGCUGGCAGGAGCACCAGCUGUGCUCGGCAUGCCCUGCUGCUAGCAGUUGUGCCAGAACCGAUGGUGACAGUGGCAACGCAAGAGUCUCGGUUUGACCACCACCCACUCUUGUUGCCACCUCCUAAGAGACAAAAAGGAAAUGCCACAGCUCCUGCGGUUCCUCCUACCUGGGAUCGACUCACCUGGUCGGCCAGGUCGGGAGUCUGCGUGGCUGAAGCACGGGGAGGAGAAGGCAGAGACAAAGGGGACACGGAGAGAAGCAGGCAGAGAGCAGCAAGUCAAAUCGCAGGGGCAGGAGGGUGAUUUCUCUGCUGAAAUUGGGAAGGAGGGCUCAAAGUUCGUCCCUGUCUGCGCCUGAUGCAAAUCUGCUCGCCGGAGGAUGUUGGGAGAGCAAAGCAUUGCUCCCAAUACCACAGAUGUGACAUAACCUGCCGCAGCCGGAGCCGUCGGUGCACAGCCAGCAGAAGCAAGGGCUUGGAGAAGCCACUCUUUGGCUGCUGGUGGCCCUGCCCGAGGCUCUGGCACUGCCAAGAAUUUCAGAUCCCAAAGCACAGCCGUCCAGAGACCAGCCUUGGAGCAGCUUCUGACAGCGUGAGGACCACAAAGGAAACGCUUUUGGGUUUUCUCAGGACUGCCCAUGACAAAUGCCUUCGUGGUCCUCAGCAUGGCCUCUGUAAGUACCCGCAGCAACCACCACGUGCUGCCCAGGCAGCGUCCAGCUGGGUCUGAAGCCUCGGAGGACAUCCUUUGGCUGGGAUCUCAGCAGGCUCCUGUCCUGUGAUAGCCCCAGCGUGGUGGGGAGAAGUCUGCCUUCUGCUGGGAUUUCCGAAGCCUUCCUUCUGCCGGGCACGGUGACCCCUGUGCGGAGGGGCUAAAUGCCUGCUCGCCCCUGGGCUCUUGCUGGAGCCAGGCUCUCUUCCUUCCAUCCGAUCUCUUCAGCACCCAUCUUGCAUUGAAUGCAUUUAAGGAUAGAAGAUAUCACGGUUUGCCAAUUCAUUUGGGAUUUUUAUUGAAAAUGAGGAGGUGGGAUGAGAUUUACUGAUUUGAGGUGGAUACAAGGCAUCAGUGGAUUUCUUUUUCCCCAACAGAGCAGCAAAUGUGGUUUAGUGGGCACAGGCAGGAGAGCUGGUUCUAGGAGUUUUGCUUGUGUAGUCUAGAAAAAUACAGAGGCUAAGAGGUUUGUACGCUGGGGAGGAAACACCCGGGAAUGUAAGGAACUCUUUAAGCGAGAGGACACCG